rnacentral:rRNA from 1 species
CAUAGGUUAAUGAGGCGAACCGGGGGAACUGAAACAUCUAAGUACCCCGAGGAAAAGAAAUCAACCGAGAUUCCCCCAGUAGCGGCGAGCGAACGGGGAGGAGCCCAGAGCCUGAAUCAGUGUGUGUGUUAGUGGAAGCGUCUGGAAAGGCGCGCGAUACAGGGUGACAGCCCCGUACACAAAAAUGCACAUGCUGUGAGCUCGAUGAGUAGGGCGGGACACGUGGUAUCCUGUCUGAAUAUGGGGGGACCAUCCUCCAAGGCUAAAUACUCCUGACUGACCGAUAGUGAACCAGUACCGUGAGGGAAAGGCGAAAAGAACCCCGGCGAGGGGAGUGAAAAAGAACCUGAAACCGUGUACGUACAAGCAGUGGGAGCACGCUUAGGCGUGUGACUGCGUACCUUUUGUAUAAUGGGUCAGCGACUUAUAUUCUGUAGCAAGGUUAACCGAAUAGGGGAGCCGAAGGGAAACCGAGUCUUAACUGGGCGUUAAGUUGCAGGGUAUAGACCCGAAACCCGGUGAUCUAGCCAUGGGCAGGUUGAAGGUUGGGUAACACUAACUGGAGGACCGAACCGACUAAUGUUGAAAAAUUAGCGGAUGACUUGUGGCUGGGGGUGAAAGGCCAAUCAAACCGGGAGAUAGCUGGUUCUCCCCGAAAGCUAUUUAGGUAGCGCCUCGUGAAUUCAUCUCCGGGGGUAGAGCACUGUUUCGGCAAGGGGGUCAUCCCGACUUACCAACCCGAUGCAAACUGCGAAUACCGGAGAAUGUUAUCACGGGAGACACACGGCGGGUGCUAACGUCCGUCGUGAAGAGGGAAACAACCCAGACCGCCAGCUAAGGUCCCAAAGUCAUGGUUAAGUGGGAAACGAUGUGGGAAGGCCCAGACAGCCAGGAUGUUGGCUUAGAAGCAGCCAUCAUUUAAAGAAAGCGUAAUAGCUCACUGGUCGAGUCGGCCUGCGCGGAAGAUGUAACGGGGCUAAACCAUGCACCGAAGCUGCGGCAGCGACACUAUGUGUUGUUGGGUAGGGGAGCGUUCUGUAAGCCUGUGAAGGUGUGCUGUGAGGCAUGCUGGAGGUAUCAGAAGUGCGAAUGCUGACAUAAGUAACGAUAAAGCGGGUGAAAAGCCCGCUCGCCGGAAGACCAAGGGUUCCUGUCCAACGUUAAUCGGGGCAGGGUGAGUCGACCCCUAAGGCGAGGCCGAAAGGCGUAGUCGAUGGGAAACAGGUUAAUAUUCCUGUACUUGGUGUUACUGCGAAGGGGGGACGGAGAAGGCUAUGUUGGCCGGGCGACGGUUGUCCCGGUUUAAGCGUGUAGGCUGGUUUUCCAGGCAAAUCCGGAAAAUCAAGGCUGAGGCGUGAUGACGAGGCACUACGGUGCUGAAGCAACAAAUGCCCUGCUUCCAGGAAAAG